rnacentral:rRNA from 1 species
UAGGGAAUAUUGGUCAAUGGAUGAAAGUCUGAACCAGCCAUGCCGCGUGCAGGAAGAAGGCGUUAUGCGUUGUAAACUGCUUUUGCCAGGGGAUAAAAUGACCGUGCGCGGUUAAUUGAAGGUACCUGGUGAAUAAGCCACGGCUAACUACGUGCCAGCAGCCGCGGUAAUACGUAGGUGGCAAGCGUUGUCCGGAUUUAUUGGGUUUAAAGGGUGCGUAGGUGGCCCUGUAAGUCAGUGGUGAAAUAUCUCAGCUUAACUGAGAGGGUGCCAUUGAUACUGCAGGGCUUGAGUACAGAUGAGGUAGGCGGAAUUGACGGUGUAGCGGUGAAAUGCAUAGAUAUCGUCAAGAACACCGAUAGCGAAGGCAGCUUACCAAGCUGUAACUGACACUGAGGCACGAAAGUGUGGGGAUCAAACAGGAUUAGAUACCCCGGUAGUCCCUGAGCGGGCUGGCAAGGCGCAU